GAUGAACGCUAGCUACAGGCUUAACACACGCAAGUCGAGGGGCAGCAUGUUGGUUGCUUGCAACCAAUGAUGGCGACCGGCGCACGGGUGAGUAACGCGUAUCCAACCUUCCCCUUAGUAGAGGAUAGCCCGGCGAAAGUCGGAUUAAUACUCUAUGUUCUUCAAUGCGGACAUCUAAGUUGAAGCAAAGAUUUAUCGCUAAGGGAUGGGGAUGCGUCUGAUUAGGUUGCAGGCGGGGUAACGGCCCACCUGGCCUACGAUCAGUAGGGGUUCUGAGAGGAAGGUCACCCACACUGGUACUGAGACACGGACCAGACUCCUACGGGAGGCAGCAGUGAGGAAGAUUGGUCAAUGGGCGCGAGCCUGAACCAGCCAAGUAGCGUGCAGGAUGACGGCCCUAUGGGUUGUAAACUGCUUUUAUCAGGGGAUAAAGUGACCCACGUGUGGGUUUUUGUAGGUACCUGAUGAAUAAGGACCGGCUAAUUCCGUGCCAGCAGCCGCCGUAACAC
rnacentral:rRNA from 1 species